ACAUAUGCCAACAGUGCUGAACACAGUUGUUCAGCAUAAUUGUUCUGAUAUGAAAGCAGUGCACAUAUAUAUCAGAUAUCCUUGAUCAUGUCCACCACAGAAGUCAGGAGCUCAGUUCAGAAUCACUUCAGUGCUUUAUGUCAGCAAGGAAUUAAGAUCAGUUUUUCAUGGUGCCUUACUCAGAUGAACACAUGCUGAGCAUACUCAUAAGUAGCUGUCCCUAUCUGCCUGCAUGUCAAAACCCCUAUGGAACAGUCUCUUAAAACCAUGGAAGAAAAAUAAAAUACUAACCCAGAAAUUUAGACUCCACUAUUCUAAUCAGUUUAAUUUCAAUAAUGGUGUGGAAAUUCAGAGGUUCAAAUCAUGAACAUGGAAGAAGUCACAAAGCUUGUAAUUAGAAAUACAAAAAACCACUGGUUUGUGGCUUUUGCAAUGUUUUGGGAAGCAAGAAUUCUGGGUUUCAUUUUUAGCUUUAUGUCAGAUCUUCUACUACUAUUUGGGUAAAAUUAUUUAUUCCUGCUAUAACACUUGAAUUUGCAAACCAACAGAAUUAAGACUCUGUUGGGAUUUUUAGGUAAUAUCAAUCAGCCCAGGUCUUCAAUACCAUGUGUGUAUUUUUGGGUGAGCUGAAGCAUGCAGAAUCUAAAGCAGCCAAAUUUUGGUCUGAAAGCCAUAUAGCUGUAAAAGUUUAAAAUUAGAAUUACCUAGAGUAAAGUGCUGUGUCAGUUCAGAUGUAUGAUUUUCUGACUAAUGUGACCAAUGCGAACAAGGGGAGUAACAGGCAAGACCAUACUGUACCUGAGAUUGUGGAAAAUUUUGGUUUUGGGGGUGCAAGGGAGAUUGAGAAUUUUUCUGUUAAUGGAAAAAGCUAGUCACACAGAAAUACUCUUACUGAAAUAUUUCUACAGUUUUAUAACUAUGCAUAAUAUCACAUUAUGCAAAUUUACCACCUAUUCAAAUGUCAAUAGUAAGAUCUUCCAAAUAUGUUUCAUCCUCCAAAAUUUGAGUAUAGAUACAAAAUCUUUUUACAAAGAGUGUAAUUAGCUGUAGUGUAAAUGUUGUUCAGGAAAUGGGGGUUUAUGAAGACAUAAGUACUUUUCUGAAUUAAUGCAGGGAAAAAAUGAUUACCUCAGAGUCUCACAAGGUUUUUCCUAUCUCAUUAUUCUUAAAACAAUAGAUUUCCUUAUGCUGUUACUUGCCUUGUUCCUUUUUCUUCCUUCACAGUUCUGCAAAAUACAGCCUAGGUAGACAUCAGGCUUGUGGUAUGACUAUUUUAUUUAAUUAAAAAAAGUUACUCAAACAAAACAAAACAAAAAAUGAAAUCUAAAAUAGAAAGUAAUCAAAAACAAACAAAAGCCAAACCAAACAAACAUAACUAAACCAAAACCCAAAGAAAAUCCAAAACAGAAACAGAAAAUAAAAAAAAGACCAACCAAACUGAUGUUAGGUUCUGAUCCAAACAUCCUGAUCAGAACAGGAUCAUUUCAUACAGGUGUGUAUGAAAUGAGACAGAUGUCCACUCUGAUCAAAUGGAGAAGAACAAUUUUCCUGCUUCUUUAUAAACACUCAAGCCUCAGUCCCCAUUUCUCCUGUCUGUCUGCCUACUAACAGCCACCAGUGGAAGAACAGGGCUGUGAGACAUCUUUUCUCCUGUCUCAGGCACUGACACCAGCUGCUGCCCAGGAGCUUCCAGGCCAGAAUAAGUUCUGACAAGAAAAGCAGCUGGCCUCCACCCUCUCUCCAGAACACCCUUGCAUUAUUUUGGCAGUCACGGACUCUCACUACACAUGCCCAGGAGUGGUCAGAGCUUGCCCCAGCUUUACUAAGGCCUGGACUCCUGCUAAGAGCGUCUACAAUGCCUGGAGAGUCAAGCAGGGCUCUGGGUGGUGCUGAAUGGUGCGUUGGUGGCUCUUGGCAGCAGUUAUCCAUGCCUGUCCCUGAAGCUGUUGACUGUGCUUCCCUGGUUGCUAUGGGAAAGCAGCUGCUGCCCUCAGCUCUCUCCAGCCUUCUGCAAUGCAUUGAGAGCACGGCCACAGCACCAGGCUGGAUGUAUUCCAUCUCCUGCAAAGCUCGGUCUGAUCUUCAUGAUCCUGUGUCUACACCAGGCAGAGAGCUCCAUACAUACCAGCUGCUUUCACGUCAAUUGGAAUCCUUCUUGUGCCUCCUCGUAUUCCUGUCCUGCCCACACUGGAGAGACUGUAUCCACCCACAGCCUCACUCCAGCUGUAUGAGCUGACCCACUGUACCUCCAUGAUCCCAUUGGGAUUGAGGCCUUGCAGACACAUGUAGAACAGGAAUUUGUCCUUUUUGCUCCCCAUGGUGCAUGUGUGAGAGAUGUGAAGAAUGAAGAAACUAGAAAGAGAUCUCUAGCAGACACAAGUCAAAUUAGCUCUGGAAAUACAAGAAGAAAUUGUUUAUUGUCUACACUGUCUCAGAGGCUGCUGGAAAUUGAGAUGACAUCUUCUGAGGUGUCAUAAAUUCUGAGAUUCCCCUGGUAUGCUGCAAACCUCAUUCACAGAAAAGAGUCACUCUCACAAAAGAUAUAUAAUCUUUUCUUGAGGAAUACCAAUAAAGAAAAUCUCACAUACCCUA